UCUUGGAUUGGCUCAGGUCUUGGUGCCGACCUGGACGGUGGCCAGAGGAGGACAAAAGACCUUUAUGCCAAGCGGCAGGUCGGUGUUGGUGACGGUGGUGACGCGACUGCCUGUCGGCCAGCGGCAGCGCCUCGGGACAUGGCGGCUGCCUCUGGGUGUCGGAGAGGAAUCGGUAACAGCAUCUGCCAAGCCUGCUGCUGCCUCCAAGGAAACGGCACAGGAAGACACUCCAGCCUCAUCUUGUAGUUUCUGUCCUCCAGCCUUGGAGUUGGCCACUUCUCCAAGUAGCCCUGGUUCCUUUUAUUGGAGAAUGCUGUUUCAAAGCCCGUGUCUGGGCUUAAGAUCUACCAGUUAAUUCUGGCACAUGAAGACUGUGGGAGCAACUCGUCAGGCCUGCAUGGUGGAAUCUGGAAUCAGUAUUUUAAGUGAAAGGCAAAAAGUUCAGGCAGAGGCAGCACAUACUGUUAAUAAUGUAUAUGCAGAUGUUGAUAUGUUAAACAAAAAAAUCUUUGGUUCUGUGCCUUCUGCCUCAGCGCUAGUCGGUAUGUUGGAAUUUAUCAAGACAUUCCUGAGUGAUCCAUUUCAGAUUCUGGGGAAGAAGGAAGAGGCGCGCCUUGAAGGAUCAGUGUUUUACAACGAUUUUGAAAGAGGGUGGCUAUCAAGAAUUACAGCUUGUUCAUACUUUGCGGGUGAUGACAGAAGGAGAAAGGCAUUAUCAGGAGAGAAAUCAUAAGGAGCAAACUGUAUUUUGAUGGCUAUUAAUCUAUUGGAUUUAUUUAUUUAUUUGAGAGGUGGAAUUACAGAAAGAGAAAAGAAGAGACAGAGAGAGGGGUCUUCCAUCUGCUGGUUCACUUCCCAGAUGGCCACAAUGGCCAGAGCUGAGCAGAGCCAGAGCCAGGAGCCAAGAGCCAGGAGCUUCUUCCAGGGGUCCAAGCACUUGGGCCAUCUUCCACUGCCCUCCGAAGCCAUAAGCAGAGAACUGGAUUGGAAGAGGAGCAGCUGGGACAAAAAGCCAGCAUCCAUAUGGGAUGCCAGUGCCACAGGCAGAUGCUUAACCCACUACACCACAGCACUGGCCCUGAAAACUAUUUUCUUAAUUGAGUAUUUUUCAUCUUCUUUGAAUUACUUGCUUUUUUUUGUGAAAUAAACUGAUACAUUAUUUUUCAAAAUGAUUUUUUCGCCCAGAUAACCUUGACAAUCGGGCAAUUGAAUCAGGAAAACAAUAUUGUUACCUCCUAACAUGAUAAGAUUUAUUUAAAUUGUACUUGGGAAGCUUUAUAGUUGGUCAGCACACAGAAGGGAAAGCAAAUGUGAAAUUUCAGCCUUUGUAUUAUUGAUAUUCAGAGGAGAAAACAACAAUGUUAUAUCUGCUUGUCUUUAUUUUAUAUGCAUCCUUUUUUUAAAUUAUAUUGCUUGUAGUAACUUGUAUUUUCUUGAUGGUUCCUCUGUAAUUAGAAUUUUCUUAAUAUUUUCUGGUAGAAAUUUAUGUUGACUCAGACUUAGUUAUCAUGGCUUUAUCCCUAGAUAAAUUGAAUUAUGCCUUGUUGCUAAUAUAAAAAUGACUUUGUUUUAAAAAAUUCAGUAAAAGCAGAUGACAAGGUCAUGGUCAGAAGUAGCAUGGGUCUGAUCGAAGACAUAGAUUCAUAGGUGAAAUAGCAUGUUUUCUACAUUUUUUUUCCCCUUGUCUUGAUUAUUCAGUAUUUGAAGUUGUCGCACAAUGAUGUUUUUGAUUGAACUGCUUUUGUAGAUAGCUAUUUUUUCUCUUUACAAUUUAUUUAUUUGAAAGGUAAUGUGACAGAGUGAAGGAGAGACAGAGACAGAGAAAGAGAUCUUCCAUCCACUGGUUCACUCUAUAAAUGACCACAACAACCAGGCCUGCACUAGACUGAAGCCAGGAGUCUGGAAUUCCAUCCCAGUCUCCCCUGUAGAUGGCAGGAACCCAAGCUCUUGGGCCAUCUUCCACUGCGUUCCCACAUGUGAAUGUAGGAAGUUGGAUCAGAAGCAGAGCAACAGGGGUCUGCUGGUGCUACGAUAUGGGAUGCUAGUGUCACAAGCGGUGGCUUAACCUGCUGGGCCAUCCCCUGUUUUCUGUCCCAGACAGCUAUUGACUACACAUUUCAGUCAUUUGUUACAGUUAGAUGAAACCGAGCAGAAACAGAGAUAAAUAUGGGUUACCAUAAUACAUUUUUAGGGUUUUCCCCCAUCAGAGAAAGUUUUACAACCUGGACCAAUGCUAUCUGAUAGAACUUUCUGCAAUGAUGGAAAUUUUCUGUGUCUCCACUGUGCAAUACGAGUGACAGACCACAUGUGGAUAUUGAAAUAUGGUUAACACAACUGAGAAAUGGAAUUUUCUGCCUUAUUUUAUUUAAAUACCCACACGUGACUAGUGACUGUUGUGUUGGACAGCAUAGUCCUAGAUAAUGGUUAACAUUCCAGAGUGUCCAUUUGCAGCUUACAGUCCCACAGGAGCCUCAGGAAUGGACUGUAACUGUGCCCCUGUUCUCCCACGUUUACCUCUCUCCCUGACUCUCGGCUUUCGUAUGGGCUUUAAUUUUAUUAUCCCAAGUGCAAGGCUGUGAUCUGCUUUAUAAAUAACAGUGUUCAAUGUGCCUGAUAAAGGCUCAUUUGCACUGAUUGCAGAAGGAAUAUUUUCUUUUCUUUUCUUUUUUUUUUUAAGAUUUAUUGAUUUAUUUAUUUGAAAGUCAGAGUUGGAGAGAGAGACAGACAGACAGACAAAGAGAGAUCUCUGUCUGCUGUUUCUCUUUCCAUAGAGCUACAAAAGCCAGGGCUGAGCCAGGCUAAACCCAAGAGCCAGCAGUUUCUUCCAGGUCUCCCACAUGGGUUCAGGGACCCAAGCACUUGGGCCAUCCUCUGCUGCUUUUCCCAGGACAUCAGCAGGGAGCUGGAUCCAAAGUGAAGCAGCUGGGACAUGAACAGGUACCCAUAUGGGAUGCCGGUGUUGCAGGCGGCAGUUUUACCUGCUAUGUCACAGUGCUGGCUCCAUUCUUAUUUUCAAGAUAUUUGAUCAGUAUCUAGUGCUCCAAUUUGAAGCAUUCUACAUAUAAUUUUGGCAAAUAAGUAAAACCACUGGUGCUUAAUACAUAGUUCAUAUUGUUCAGUAGUUCAGGUAUCAGUAAUGUAUCUGAUUAAUAAUUUUUGUUUUGUUCAGAAUUGGCAGUGGAGGUCAGUUUGGGAGGAAAGCUCUGACCGUAAACAUUAGAGAAGACAGAGAGACUCUCUGUGACAUUGAGACUUUCCACAGUCCCACAGUGGAGGAAAUGCCAGUGUGUCGGGCUGGCCUUCUUUAGUUCCUGAGAUGAUAGUUUUGAAUGCAAUGCUUGCUAUUGCUGAAUAUGUGAUAUCACAACAUGUGUUACGCUGUUUUCUUUGGAACUGUUUCCGUCUCAUCUCAAUGCUCAUAGUGAAUCAGAAAUAUAGAUUUUGAUAGCAAAGCAACUGUAGUCGUGAGCUCAUGUAAAAAAACUCAUUUCCUCUUUAACCUUAGACUGUUGUGAUUAGGCAUAAAAUAUGGAGGUCUAUAAAAUUUUUCUUAGAAAUGUAUUUCCUAAUUCUAUAAAAAUGGUUACAUUGGGUUCUCUGUCACUUACUAAUAAGUAUGUGCUAUGUAAAUCAGCCGGUUGUGUGUGUCUGCCUUUAUUGUGUUAGCCAUUAGCCUGAAUAGAACAAACUUUAAAGUGAUGUUUUUAAGGAAGAUAUUUGGUUUCAUUUUGUUUGAUCUUGUGUUUUUAUUUAGAAAAGCAUUUUGUUAGCAUUGAAUGUGAACUGGAGCCUUUUGCUAAGUAUCAGCAACAUUUAUGUCUUAGGAUUAAAUCCCAGAAAAAGUGCUCUGUUGUAUAUUGAAUGUUCAGUGAAUUGCAAUGAAAUUGCAAUAAAAACAUACAUAUAUAUAUAUACAUAUAUACAUCUGUGAUUUGGACUUCAUAUCUUGAAGAAUUGUACUUUUUGCCAUAACUCCUUAUUUUCAAAGGAAUAAGAUGAAACAGCACUGCAUAGUAAACAGUUUAUCCUAGUUACAAAACUAUGUGCAAAUUUGACUUUCGAUGAAAAUACUUGCUAGUUCUAAGUUAACUGCUGCUUGGCAACAGCAGGAAGAGCGAUGCUCCUGAAAUGCAGGUGUUCACAUGCACCAUCUGCAAGCAUUGUCUGUUUCUUACGAGAAAAAAGAAAUAUCUGAGUGUGAGAUUCCUCCCUCUUCUGUGGUGGCAAACGUUUCCUGGCACAUCCAAAGGAGCUGCUUACCAGCAAGGUCCUCUCUGUUAAUGGACUAAUAUUAACCAGUGGAAUUCUUUUUCUCUGACAGUAACAUCGAGUAAUGUAUCCUAUGACAGAAGAUUGACAUUAAGUAUGGUCCUUUUAAAAAAAAAAAAAACUUAUUAUUUUAUUUGAGAGUCAGAGAGAGAGAAAGAGCUCACACCCAGUGUUUCCCUCCCUAGAUGCCAAUAUCGGCUCUGUGGCCAAAGCUGGGAGACAGGAGCUCAGUCUACAUCAUGGGUGGCAGGGACACCCCUGCUUGAGCCAUCACCUGCUGUCCCCUAGAAUCUGCAUUAGAAAGUUGGAAUUAGGAGCUGGAGUCCAAUAUAGAUACUAUGGUAUGAGACAUAAGCAUUGCAACCAGUGGCUUAAUCACUAUUCUAAAUGGCCACUGCAGUAAACUUUAUUGUUUAGGGCAGUUUUAUGCUUACAGAAAAAUUAAGCAGGAAGUACAGGAAUUCACAUACACUCUCAGUUCUUACUCAUGUGUAACAUCCACUACCAUCAAUAUAUUGCCCCAGUGGUGCCUUUAUUAUAAUCAUGAACUUACCUUUAAAUAUCAUGAUCACCCAAAGUCAUAGUCUAUAUUAGAGUUCAUUCUAUGAUUUUAGACAAAUUCAUGAUGACUUGUAUCCACCAUAUAGUGUUAUACAGAGGAGUUUCACUGCCCUAAGAAUCCUCCAGUCCCCUGUUUUCUGCCUAUUCAUUUCUCCUUUCCCCAACCUUGACAACCACUAAUCUUUGUGCUCUCUCCCUCGUAUGCCUUUUCCAGAAUGGCAUGUAGUUGGAAUCACAUAGUAUGUAGCCUUUCCAGAUUGUCUCUUUCCCUUAAUAAUAUGCAUUUCCAUUUCCCUGUCUUUUCAC